ACUGAGAACCGAAGGUCGAAGGGAGAAAUUCAUUCGUGUCUCGCCGCGGGCGUUGGACGGUCGCGUGACGGAAAGCGUUCGCGCGCUUUCCGCGCCUUCGGUCUUUACGAACCCGCGGCGAACGCGUGCACUUUUCUUCUGGUAGGACGUCGCGAUCCGUUGGGUGUCGGUCUACGGCUCGCGGUGGAGCCCGCUCGUAUAUCUUCACGGAUUACGGACGGACCCGCGUGUCCCGGCUGACUCGCUCGACGGUAUACUUGAAAGGUUUGAGGCCGCUCUCGGAGCGUCCGACUCGCGGCAAGCGCGUCAGAUGUGUCGGCGAUCGGACCCGGUGCCGAUUCUGACCUCUGUCGACUGUUGGCCGCGAAGUUCUCGGACUGACCUCUCACGACCGAUCGGCGACAAUAUAGCUUUGGGUACUUUCAGGACCCGUCUUGAAACACGGACCAAGGAGUCUAGCAUGUGCGCGAGUCAUUGGGAAUCGCUAAACCUAAAGGCGCAAUGAAAGUAAAGGUCUUCCUAGCGGAGACCUAGGGAGGACGGGCGGUUCACCCUUAAAAGUGGCCGCUCGGCACUCCCGGGGCGUCUCGUUCUCAUCGCGAGAAGAGGCGCACCAAGAGCGUACACGCUGGGACCCGAAAGAUGGUGAACUAUGCCUGGUCAGGACGAAGUCAGGGGAAACCCUGAUGGAGGUCCGUAGCGAUUCUGACGUGCAAAUCGAUCGUCGGAACUGGGUAUAGGGGCGAAAGACUAAUCGAACCAUC
rnacentral:rRNA from 1 species